UUAGCCGGCCAAAGCCCCCUCCGCACACAUGAAACCCAUGAAGCAAAACCUUAUAUAGGCAUCAGUUCCAUAUUCAAUAUUCGUUCCAGAUCUACCAUUAGUCAUUAAAGAUAGAAAUGGACAAAGUUCAUGCCAUUUACUAGCAAUUUAAUUUUCAGAACUGCAGUAUUCUUGCAGUGGCAUAAUAUGCAUGCUAUACUCGAACAAUAAAAUAUUCAAAUAUACCCACCCACUUAAAUAGGCCAGUUGAAAUGCCAUAAUCGUGAUUUCUAAGCGUUGGGAUGCGGAUGAAUCUAGAACGUUGGAAUGUUGGGAAAGGACUAAAAUUCUUAUGAUUUUAUUAAUCCAUGUUCAGACUUCAGUUUUUUUUAACUUUGUUUUAUAUUAUUUUAUAUGUCGGUCCAUCCAGAAGAUUCCGCUGCAAUGUCCUUCCUAUGCAACAUUUCUGGUGUGAACAGCGUGAACGGCUUGGGAGCAUUUAUUUGUAUUGAAAGUUCAUGUUUUGGUCUGCUAUGAGACAUUUAUCAAUGCCGAGAUGAAUUGGGCAUUUCUUACAACGUAGCGGCUUUCCAAUCACCAUUCACUUUUGGAUAAACGGGAAUGGCAGUGGAGCGAAAGGUUCACAAAGUGGUGUAUGCAACGCCACAUAACAUGUAAAAUCUCAUACAGUUUUUGUUUGAGAAAAUGAGGAACGCGAGCGAUUCUGAGGGUGUGAUUGGCAGAAGGAAAUGUUUGAAGUCCCCCCUUGUGUGCAGUGUUUUAAAUCUUGUUUCGGAGGAUUUCGCUCUUAUCGAGAAACAAGACUAUGAUAGAAUAUGUUGAAUCGUCUUUUCAGUGUCUUCAUCUGCUGACUAUCUGGACGGCUUCUCUUUUUCCUUUGAAUUCAGGAUAUGUUUUAUUUUCAAGGUAUGUGUGUGAAUAAGAUGCGGUACUGCGAGUGUCUCUCCUCUCUCACCAUUUCUGAGUGCAGACUUUCUUCACUUCAAUGUGAAUGAGAUUUCGUUGAACUCCGUAAAAUUGUGAGAUAUUUGUACCAUUGUAAAUGGAAAUUUCUUGACAUGGAUCAACAUUUACACAUUGACAACAUAAAAUCAUUGGUUGAUGAAACUCAUCAACCUAGGGAAACUAUUGCCUUACAUCUUGCGAAGAAACGUCAUGCAUUACGAGUUGCUAUAUUGCCAGUUGUAAAUUUAACUGUCAAUUUAAAAAAGGUUUUCAUAAACAUGGAGAAAGCAUGAAAUAUGAAGUAAUAAAUUUGCUUUAUUUUCAGUCGUCUAUUCAACAAGCCAAACAGUUAGCUGAUUUGUUUCACUGUUCAUAUAUGCUCUGGAUAUCUUUUAACAAAUUGUUGUCAUUGGCGUUAAUAACA